GUGCUCACUUCAGCAGCACAUACACUAAAAUUGCAAUGACAUAGAGAAGAUUAGCUUGGCCCCUGCACAAGGUUGACAUGUAAAUUCAUGAAGCAUUCCAUAUUUUU
ensembl:snRNA U6 U6 spliceosomal RNA